rnacentral:rRNA from 1 species
GACGAACGCUGGCGGCGUGCUUAACACAUGCAAGUCGAACGGACUACUUUGCUUCGGUAAGGUGGUUAGUGGCGAACGGGUGAGUAACGCGUAGACAACCUACCUCUUAGAUGGGGACAACAUCGCGAAAGCGGUGCUAAUACCGAAUGAAGUGACUUUCCUGCAUGGGAGAGAUACUAAAGGUGGCCUCUAUUUAUAAGCUACCACUGAGAGAUGGGUCUGCGUCGGAUUAGCUAGUUGGCGGGGUAAUGGCCCACCAAGGCGACGAUCAGUAGCCGGUCUGAGAGGAUGAACGGCCACAUUGGGACUGAGACACGGCCCAAACUCCUACGGGAGGCAGCAGUGGGGAAUCUUCCGCAAUGGACGAAAGUCUGACGGAGCAACGCCGCGUGAGUGAAGAAGGUUUUCGGAUCGUAAAGCUCUGUUGUUUGAGACGAAUGUGCCUGUUUCAAAUAGGGAUAGGUAAUGACGGUAUUAAACGAGAAAGCCACGGCUAACUACGUGCCAGCAGCCGCGGUAA